AGUGAACGCUGGCGGCAGGCCUAAUACAUGCAAGUCGAACGGCAGCACAGCAGAGCUUGCUCUGUGGGUGGCGAGUGGCGGACGGGUGAGGAAUACGUGGGAAUCUGCCCAGUCGUGGGGAUAACGUAGGGAAACUUACGCUAAUACCGCAUGCGCCCUUCGGGGGAAAGCCGGGGACCUUCGGGCCUGGCGCGAUUGGAUGAGCCCACGUCGGAUUAGCUAGUUGGCGGGGUAAAGGCCCACCAAGGCGACGAUCCGUAGCUGGUCUGAGAGGAUGAUCAGCCACACUGGAACUGAGACACGGUCCAGACUCCUACGGGAGGCAGCAGUAGGGAAUAUUGGACAAUGGGCGCAAGCCUGAUCCAGCCAUGCCGCGUGAGUGAAGAAGGCCCUCGGGUUGUAAAGC
rnacentral:rRNA from 1 species